CCUACGGGAGGCUGCAGUGGGGAAUAUUGCACAAUGGGCGCAAGCCUGAUGCAGCCAUGCCGCGUGUGUGAAGAAGGCCUUCGGGUUGUAAAGCACUUUCAGCGGGGAGGAAGGCGUUAAGGUUAAUAACCUUGUCGAUUGACGUUACCCGCAGAAGAAGCACCGGCUAACUCCGUGCCAGCAGCCGCGGUAAUACGGAGGGUGCAAGCGUUAAUCGGAAUUACUGGGCGUAAAGCGCACGCAGGCGGUCUGUCAAGUCGGAUGUGAAAUCCCCGGGCUCAACCUGGGAACUGCAUUCGAAACUGGCAGGCUAGAGUCUUGUAGAGGGGGGUAGAAUUCCAGGUGUAGCGGUGAAAUGCGUAGAGAUCUGGAGGAAUACCGGUGGCGAAGGCGGCCCCCUGGACAAAGACUGACGCUCAGGUGCGAAAGCGUGGGGAGCAAACAGGAGUAGAUACCCUAGUAGUC
rnacentral:rRNA from 1 species